rnacentral:rRNA from 1 species
UGGGGAAUAUUGGACAAUGGGCGCAAGCCUGAUCCAGCCAUGCCGCGUGUGUGAAGAAGGCCUUAUGGUUGUAAAGCACUUUAAGUUGGGAGGAAGGGCAGUAAGCGAAUACCUUGCUGUUUUGACGUUACCGACAGAAUAAGCACCGGCUAACUCUGUGCCAGCAGCCGCGGUAAUACAGAGGGUGCAAGCGUUAAUCGGAAUUACUGGGCGUAAAGCGCGCGUAGGUGGUUCGUUAAGUUGAAUGUGAAAGCCCCGGGCUCAACCUGGGAACUGCAUCCAAGACUGGCGAGCUAGAGUAGGGCAGAGGGUGGUGGAAUUUCCUGUGUAGCGGUGAAAUGCGUAGAUAUAGGAAGGAACACCAGUGGCGAAGGCGACCACCUGGGCUCAUACUGACACUGAGGUGCGAAAGCGUGGGGAGCAAACAGG